rnacentral:rRNA from 1 species
GUUCCUGGUGCUUCUGACAUCCGCCAGUUCCGCCCUAUCACGGUGAUUAACGUGAUCUUCCGGAUUCUUGCUAAAGGGUACGCCAAUAGGGUGACCCUGCUUGCCAACCGUAUUACCCACCCUAACCAAUCGGCUUUCAUCCAAGGCCGGUAUAUUCUGGAUGGGGUGUUGGUCCUCCACGAAAUCCUCCAUGAAGUCCGCUCCAAGCACCUCAAAGCGGUCUUUCUGAAGAUCGAUUUUCAUAAGGCCUAUGACACUGUUAGUUGGCCCUUCCUUCGGGAAGUUCUU